ACAUCAACUUGACUUGAGUUCGAGUCAGAAUUGAGAUUUCAUUUGUGUUUAGCAGAUGAAUCUUGAAUUAUAUAAGAAUUCAGGUUUCGGUGUGACCGUAUAUGCUGAACAUUGUGGGAUACGAAACUGUAGAAAGCUUUUCUACGGAUCGAAUUUCAUCAUCACAAUGAGUUCGGUAUGAAAGGUGUGACCGGAGCAAUUUAAACUGAAUACUUCAACGAUUAUAUCACUUUGAAAUAUUUUAUAUUUCAAU
rnacentral:misc_RNA from 1 species